rnacentral:rRNA from 1 species
AAUCUACCCAGAUGUUCGGGAUAACGGCGGGAAACUGCCGCUAAUACCGGAUACGAUCCAAUUUCGGUUGGGUGAAAGGCGGCCUCUGUUUACAAGCUGUCGCAUCUGGAUGAGUCCGCGUCCCAUUAGCUUGUUGGUGGGGUAAUGGCCUACCAAGGCGACGAUGGGUAGCUGGUCUGAGAGGAUGAUCAGCCACACUGGAACUGAAACACGGUCCAGACUCCUACGGGAGGCAGCAGUGGGGAAUAUUGCGCAAUGGGGGAAACCCUGACGCAGCGACGCCGUGUGAGGGAAGAAGGCUUUCGGGUCGUAAACCUCUGUCGGGAGGGAAGAACCUUCCAGGCCUGAAUAAGUCCUGGAACUGACGGUACCUCCAAAGGAAGCACCGGCUAACUCCGUGCCAGCAGCCGCGGUAAUACGGAGGGUGCAAGCGUUAAUCGGAAUCACUGGGCGUAAAGCGCGCGUAGGCGGUCUUUUUAAGUCGGACGUGAAAGCCCUCGGCUCAACCGGGGAACUGCGUUCGAAACUGGGAGACUUGAGUCCUGGAGAGGGUGGCGGAAUUCCGG